GUGCCAGCAGCCGCGGUAAUACGUAGGGUGCGAGCGUUAAUCGGAAUUACUGGGCGUAAAGCGUGCGCAGGCGGAUUGUUAAGCAAGAUGUGAAAUCCCCGGGCUUAACCUGGGAAUGGCAUUUUGAACUGGCAGUCUAGAGUGUGUCAGAGGGGGGUAGAAUUCCACGUGUAGCAGUGAAAUGCGUAGAGAUGUGGAGGAAUACCGAUGGCGAAGGCAGUCCCCUGGGACGUGACUGACGCUCAUGCACGAAAGCGUGGGGAGCAAACAGGAUUAGAUACCCUGGUAGUCCACGCCCUAA
rnacentral:rRNA from 1 species